rnacentral:lncRNA from 1 species
CCUACUGCCAGUUGUAUUCCUUCAUUCUACCAUGGGAGACAGGUCCUUCCAUAUCUCAGCAUUUGAAGCAUGAGUUGCUCAUUACAGAAACAAAAAGAAAAAUAUCAAAUAUUUAACCACAGAAUCCAAAAGCCACCAGUAUAAAAGUAAAAUGGAGAAAGUCAGAUGGGUUUCUGCCUUUUCCAACCAGAUAAAAGACGUCACGGGCUGAGAAAGAAGGCAAGGCCACACACAGAGGACGGCAGGAGGUCACCGUGCCUGUCUUUAGGCAAGAGCGACACUCGCUAUGCGCCAAGAUUCCUUUCAAGCUCUGUGUGGCCAACUCACAGAAACAGAAACAGGAAGCAGAUGGAAAAUACGCGGAAGUGCACAGGAAGUAAACAGGGUCCAGGUAAGGAAACUGAGGCACAGGGAGCUUAGCUGACUCGCCCAAGUUCACACAGCUGCUCAGUGCCAGGGACAGACUUGACGGCAGCUAUCUAACAGCAGGCAGAGUUCACAGGAUUGGCCCUGCCCCAUGAGCUGCAGCAGUGAUGGACGGACGGAUGGAUGUGCAGCAUGGCUUAGAAUCCCCCAGCUCUCUGAGCAUGCGCUAGGAACGAACAACUUGGAUUACGACUGGAAUUUUAGUUUUAAUUACAACCAAAGUCUUGAGUUAUGACUCAAAUGCUGGCCGCUCGUGCUUCCAGACGGUCUCGGAUACAGAUUAACCCUUACAGAGUCCCGGAAGGAGCAUGACAGCAUCCUCUCCUGUGUGGGUUCACUGAGAAAUCCUGAGUCGAUGUCUCUCUAAGGACACUGAGAUCUGCCUGUGUACGUAAGAGAGACUCUGAAGGCUGUGCAGAGGAGCCUGAGCCUUCAUGACCAACUUGAGUUACAACCAGUUGAGUUCGUCAGUCAAGGGUCCGGUGCCUCAGUACCUUCUGCAGCAUACAGUGCUUCGGCCCCUGUGUGGAGUGGCAUACGUACCCAGCACAUCGUCACUCCUCUGCCUCCCCUGCCUCCCUCCACCUCUUCAUCCUCUCCCCAUCUGAAUAAAUCCACCUCCUAC